CCUUGGAUAGCUCAGUUGGUAGAGCAUGAGAUUCAGUUGGUAGAGCAGGGUUGUGGGUUCAAGCCCCGCACUGCAUUGCAUGGG